rnacentral:rRNA from 1 species
UACGAAGGGGGCUAGCGUUGCUCGGAAUCACUGGGCGUAAAGCGCACGUAGGCGGCUUCUUAAGUCAGGGGUGAAAUCCUGGAGCUCAACUCCAGAACUGCCUUUGAUACUGAGGAGCUCGAGUCCGGGAGAGGGUGAGUGGAACUCCGAGUGUAGAGGUGAAAUUCGUAGAUAUUCGGAAGAACACCAGUGGCGAAGGCGGCUCACUGGCCCGGUACUGACGCUGAGGUGCGAAAGCGUGGGGAGCAACAGGG